AGUAGUUUGAUCAGUGGCUCGAGGACGACGCUGGCGGCGUGCUUAACACAUGCAAGUCGGACGGGGUUCUUUUGAUCAGCUUGCUGAAUGAGAGGACCUAGUGGCAAACGGGUGAGUAACGCGUAGGCAACCUGCCUUUCUGAUGGGGACAACAUCCCGAAAGGGGUGCUAAUACCGAAUGACGUAUGUUUCCCGCAUGGGAAAGAUACCAAAGAUGGCCUCUACUUGUAAGCUAUCGCAGAAAGAUGGGCCUGCGUCUGAUUAGCCAGUUGGCGGGGUAACGGCCCACCAAAGCGACGAUCAGUAGCCGGUCUGAGAGGAUGAACGGCCACAUUGGGACUGAGACACGGCCCAGACUCC
rnacentral:rRNA from 1 species